rnacentral:rRNA from 1 species
UACGUAGGGACCAAGCGUUGUCCGGAAUCAUUGGGCGUAAAGAGCGUGUAGGCGGCUUGUUAAGUCUUGCGUGAAAUCUCGGGGCUCAACCCCGAGCGGUCGUGAGAAACUGGCAGGCUAGAGUGCGGGAGAGGAGAGUGGAAUUCCUGGUGUAGCGGUGAAAUGCGCAGAUAUCAGGAGGAACACCAAUGGCGAAGGCAGCACUCUGGGACGGUACUGACGCUGAGACGCGAAAGCGUGGGGAGCAAACAGG